AGGGAUUGCCUUAGUAGCGGCGAGUGAAGCGGCAAAAGCUCAAAUUUGAAAUCUGGCACUUUUAGUGUCCGAGUUGUAAUUUGUAGAAGCAACUUUGGAUUUGGUCCUUACAUAAGUUCCUUGGAAUAGGACGUCAUAGAGGGUGAGAAUCCCGUUUAUGGUGAGGAUACCAUUUCUUUGUAAAGUGCUUUCGAAGAGUCGAGUUGUUUGGGAAUGCAGCUCUAAGUGGGUGGUAAAUUCCAUCUAAAGCUAAAUAUUGGCGAGAGACCGAUAGCGAACAAGUACUGUGAAGGAAAGAUGAAAAGAACUUUGAAAAGAGAGUGAAAAAGUACGUGAAAUUGUUGAAAGGGAAGGGCUUGAAAUCAGACUUGGUAUUCAGUGAUCAAUUACCUUUCGGGGUGGUGCACUCGCUGUUUACUGGGCCAACAUCGGUUUGAGCGGUAGGAUAAUGACUUUGGAAUGUGGCUCCUCGGAGUGUUAUAGCCUUUGUUGAUACUACCAGUUUGGACCGAGGACCGCGUCUUUAUGACUAGGAUGUUGGCGUAAUGGUUUUAAGCCACCCGUCUUGAAACACGGACCAAGGAGUCUAACGUCUAUGCGAGUGUUUGGGUGUAAAACCCGUACGCGUAAUGAAAGUGAACGUAGGUGAGAUCCUUUUUAUAGGUGCAUCAUCGACCGAUCCUGAUGUUUUCAGAUGGAUUUGAGUAAGAGCAUAGCUGUUGGGACCCGAAAGAUGGUGAACUAUGCCUGAAUAGGGUGAAGCCAGAGGAAACUCUGGUGGAGGCUCGUAGCGGUUCUGACGUGCAAAUCGAUCGUCAAAUUUGGGUAUAGGGGCGAAAGACUA
rnacentral:rRNA from 1 species